GGGCCCAUAGCUCAGUCUGGUUCAGAGAAGCUUUUUUCUAAAGCGACUGCAACGCCAGUCUUAUAAGCUGGACGUCCGGGGUUCAAAAGAGGGCGAAACUGCGUUUCUCCCUUCUAACCCUCUUCCUUUACGGAAAGGGCUUGAAAAUCCCCGUGGGCCCA
rnacentral:tRNA from 1 species